AGUGAACGCUGGCGGUAGGCCUAACACAUGCAAGUCGAACGGCAGCACAGUAAGAGCUUGCUCUUACGGGUGGCGAGUGGCGGACGGGUGAGGAAUACAUCGGAAUCUACUUUUUCGUGGGGGAUAACGUAGGGAAACUUACGCUAAUACCGCAUACUACCUACGGGUGAAAGCAGGGGAUCUUCGGACCUUGCGCGAUUGAAUGAGCCGAUGUCGGAUUAGCUAGUUGGCGGGGUAAAGGCCCACCAAGGCGACGAUCCGUAGCUGGUCUGAGAGGAUGAUCAGCCACACUGGAACUGGGACACGGUCCAGACUCCUACGGGAGGCAGCAGUGGGGAAUAUUGGACGAUGGGCGCAAGCCUGAUCCAGCCGUACCGCGUGGGUGAAGAAGGCCUUCGGGUUGUAAAGCCCUUUUGUUGGGAAAGAAAAGCAGCAGGUUAAUACCCCGCUGUUCUGACGGUACCCAAAGAAUAAGCACCGGCUAACUUCGUG
rnacentral:rRNA from 1 species